GGUGCCAUGGUCUAGUGGUAUGACGCUACAUUGUGGUGAACGAAGUUCUGUAUCAGCCCCGGUUCGAUUCCGGGUGGCGCCA
rnacentral:tRNA from 1 species